CGAUAGCUGUUCUUUUUACCCUUAACAAAAUUUCCCCCAUUCCAUCUCUUCUCCUUUAAUCCCUAAAUUUUCAUCCCCAAGUUCCCAACCCAUUUGCCACCGAAGACGCUGACUGGACCACCUGGUGCAUCGCCCUCGACUAACCUCUCUGUUGCGCCGCCGUCGCCGUCGUCGUCGCUCUCCACUCCUAAAAAAUAACUUUUGCUUACCCGCUCGUUACUCCCUCUUCUUCUCAUCUGUUUUUAAAGCCCUAUGUAUACUGAUUGGUUGGGCUACUUUGGUCUCUCAAUGAGAACUUCACAUGCUGAGGCUUAGCUGUCAGCAGUAGCCCAAUCUUGAGAACAAUGAUUAAUUUGUUUAUCAGUAGUUAACCUAGUAAAAAGUCUCUUGAAGAGCCAUCCACAUGUAUUCUUUUUCUUUUAAUAACCUCUUUUUCCCCAGAUUCUGUGGCCAGGUGGUACAUUCUUUACAAAAGCAGGGAAUAUUCACGGAAAAUUUGAGAAUACUCAGCCUAACCAGGCACCUUCGCAGAACUUCAGCCAAUUUGGUGGGGAUCAUAGUGGUGACCUGCUGUGACUUUUGGAUCUGUGGUUCACAUGCUUGCAAUUCUCAUAUGAGCAUUGCUUCGAAUGAUCCAAUUCCUUGGUCCAGAGUUGAAUGAUUAUAUUUCUAAUGACAAUUUCUGAAGUCCUUUUGGGUCUAGAUGGAGCUCCAACAGCCUUAGUUAGCUUAAUCGGGCAGAAGCAAUACAGACGAUGUGCAAGAGACAUAUAUUUUUUCACUCAGUUUUCCCUGAGCUGCGGGAUCUUGUGGUGGAUCUUCAUAGAAAGAAACAUAUUAAAGUUGCAUAGGAAGUUGCGGUUUCUAUUUCUGUGAAGGAAGUCUGCUGUUGUCUCAAUUACAUUCAUGGAAGUUUAGAAAAUGAAGAACGAUGCAGUCAACCAUCACCAUUGGCUUUGCCUGUGACAUUCACUGCUAUACCAAAAUACUAACUAUGACUGAGAGUGGCAUUGCUGAUCAGAUGCGGCUGACAGAACUAAUAUUGAAUGAUAUAUGCUUCUUUGAAAACCUUGCUUAUGCGUGUUAAUAUCUUCUUUAAUAUCUUCUGUAUGCAGAUCUUGUGUAGUUUAGUAUUCGGUGGUUAACUGCCAGUCACUUAACCAUUGAUAAUGUUGGUAUUCAGCCACAUUAAGUUAUUAGUUGUGGCUGUGCUAUCAAGGUAAUAAUUUGGUUUCCUCUGGCUUCUCAACUCUCUGAGCUUUUGUGUUCUCAGUGAUAUUUAAAAUAGUCAAGGGGAUAAGUUAGUACACUUUUUCGCUUAAAUGCUCUUUUUCUUUAUUAAAACGUGCUUGUAUUUAUGACUGAUUCAUGGAUCCAUGAUUUAUGUUAUUGGUUAUCUUACAGUUUUGUUCAAUAGUGCUCAAAUUUUUGAGAAAAUAUUUGGAGACGAAUUGAUCAUGGAUAUUAUUGGUUCUCUUGAAUAUGAUCCUGAUGUUCCUCAGGUGCAACACUAUCGGAAUUUUCUGAAAGAACAUGUUGUUUUUAAGGAGGUUUUUUCUUUAUUGAAGGAGACAGCACCUUUAUUCAAGAAUUGUUUGCUAGGUUGAGAUCACCCACCACAUCUGCUGAGUCAAAGAAGAAUUUGGAAAAACCAACUACACUAGAUUGCAGUCCAAGAACAAUUUGCAGAAGGCACAUAAUGGCUGGCUCCUACCUCUACAAAUGCAUAUGGAAGGCAUUGCAGUAGUGAAUAAGAAUGAUAUUGAUCAACAUGCAGUUGACACCGUAUGUGCUCUGAAUUCGAAUUCAGGUGUGAGUUUCAGAUAUUUUAUGUGCAAAAAAGUAUUAGAGUGCCUUAUGUUUGUAUGUUAAGCAGAUUAUAGUUAGAACCUGCAGUAGGAUUGAUCAAAAACUACACCCAGUUUUGUAAUAGUCUACUUGCAUAUUUGUAUAUAUUUAAUAAUAAUCUCGUGUCAACUAA